CCGGCUGAGGCUGCUCAAGAGCUGCGGUUGGGUCACCGCUUCAUGUGAGUGUCCCGAUCCAGAGUUCUUCCCUUUCUCACCCGGGAAAAAGAACCUGACCUUCUGUGUAGUAGUGGGAAGCGCGGUCAAAACCUCCACCCACGUGCCCCCUUUUGAUUCAACUUAGUUUGGGCAAUGAAUACGUGGCCGAGGGAGAGCAUGCUACUGGAGGCAGGGGGUGAAUGCAUUACCUUGUUUCCUUUUAAGUGAGAGUGCAAAGGAUUUCCAGUGUUUGUACGUGAGGACGGGUUGAAGAAGGAGAUUCCUUGAUUUCAACAGAUAUUAGAAACACCAGCUACCACUAUACUCCCGGCAACAGUUUAGUUAUUGGGUAAAGAUCCAUAAACUAAGUAGAAAUGACUGUCAACGAAACGGACAAAAAUCCCAGUCGUUGCCUCUCGGCUAGGGCUUAUUGUUGAAGUACAGCAUUAAAAGUAAGGUGAACACUCUGUAUUUUAAUAUUGAUAUGUUUUACUUAUGGGUAUGUGUUCAUGCCCGAGUGAGUUUUUGUGCAAAACUUGUGUGGAGGUAAACGCGGAGGCUAGAAAGCAUCAGACCCCUGGGACCUGGAGUUACCUGUGAUUGUGUGCUCCUGUGUAAGUGCUGGGCCCUGAGCUUGGGUUCCCUGCAACAAGCACUAAACGCUUUUUAGUGUUGGCAUUUUAUACUUAAAUAUUUUAGAUUAUAAGUACUGCACAGAAAAGGUAUUAAGCCAUAAAAAAAAAAAGGUAGAUUAUUUGACAUGGUUGCCAGAGAAGGUUCUCAAGGAAAAGAUGGCUUUCUAGGAAGGAGGUGACACAAAUAGAAUUAACAAUAGAGAAAACCUUCAAGAAGUACAGUCAGUCAUAAGGCCAAGCCAUUGCGAAGGCCAUGCAACAGAAACUUACCAAAGUAUGAAGGGGUCUGACCAAUGCCUGUGGGCUCAGAACUGAGAGAGGGGAUUCAUGAUGCAGACAGAGAGUGUGGGCUAAUCAGGGGGAGUGAAAGCCAUAGAAGGUUUUCCAAGGCCAAGUAAUGUUACCCAGCUUCGUUUUAAGAGGGUUACUCCAUAGCCCUCUUAGACUGGGGGCAGAAGUGAGAAAGGAGAUCAGUUAGGAGGCUUUUGUUUUACCUCAAAGGGAACAUAACAGUGUCUUCAAUAAAGGUCCUAAGUGUCCAGUCAGGUCUUGAGUGUGUUUCCCAAAUAAUGAAAGCAUUUAGGCUUUGGGAAACAUUUUGAGUGAAUUGUGUGAAUUUCAGAAUGACAAACAUAAGUUAAAAUCAUGGUUUUGCCGUAUAAUAAUUGGAUGAAUCCAGACAAUACAUAUACUUUCUCCUGGUGUAUAAAAUGAUAUCUUACAUGGUGGAGAGUAAAUGUCAAUGUCAAAUGUCCAUUAGUUAUUGUUCUUAUUUGCAUUCUUGAAUUGGAAGUAGGCGUGAUGGUGUGGUUGAAGUGAUUGGUUAACUUAUUUUAAAAAUGAAAUGAUAAAAGAUUGUUCACUGUGAUAACAGGAGGCCUAGCCAAGCCUUUUGCAUUUUAUGUAUGUCUUCUACUGGGAGAAAAGGUUUUGAAUUAAGUCAUAAUAUUAGAAAAGCAUGGAUUAUCCCUUCAUAGUAAUCAAUUUUACUUUCUCCCCCCAUUGUCAUCAUUUAAUAUGGCUAGAACUUCCUGUGUCUUCAUC
rnacentral:lncRNA from 1 species